rnacentral:rRNA from 1 species
UAUACAAAAGCAAAAAUGUCCGUUUAUACAAAAAAUAUACGGCGUUUCGGUUUUUGGCGGGGUGGGUGCGUGUGUGGAUAACGGCUCACAUAACGUGUCGCGAUGGAUGACUUGGCUUCCUAUUUCGUUGAAGAACGCAGCAAAGUGCGAUAAGUGGUAUCAAUUGCAGAAUCAUUCAAUUGCCCAAUCUUUGAACGCAAACGGCGCAUGGGAGAAGCUCUAUUGAGCCAUCCCCGUGCAUGCCACAUUCUCAGUGUCGAAC